rnacentral:rRNA from 1 species
GCUAAUACCGCAUGAUGCCUACGGGCCAAAGAGGGGGACCUUCGGGCCUCUCGCGUCAGGAUAUGCCUAGGUGGGAUUAGCUAGUUGGUGAGGUAAGGGCUCACCAAGGCGACGAUCCCUAGCUGGUCUGAGAGGAUGAUCAGCCACACUGGAACUGAGACACGGUCCAGACUCCUACGGGAGGCAGCAGUGGGGAAUAUUGCACAAUGGGCGCAAGCCUGAUGCAGCCAUGCCGCGUGUGUGAAGAAGGCCUUCGGGUUGUAAAGCACUUUCAGUCGUGAGGAAGGUAGUGUAGUUAAUAGCUGCAUUAUUUGACGUUAGCGACAGAAGAAGCACCGGCUAACUCCGUGCCAGCAGCCGCGGUAAUACGGAGGGUGCGAGCGUUAAUCGGAAUUACUGGGCGUAAAGCGCAUGCAGGUGGUUUGUUAAGUCAGAUGUGAAAGCCCGGGGCUCAACCUCGGAAUAGCAUUUGAAACUGGCAGACUAGAGUACUGUAGAGGGGGGUAGAAUUUCAGGUGUAGCGGUGAAAUGCGUAGAGAUCUGAAGGAAUACCGGUGGCGAAGGCGGCCCCCUGGA